GAUGAACGCUGGCGGCGUGCCUAAUACAUGCAAGUCGAGCGAACAGACCAGGAGCUUGCUCCUCUGACGUAAGCGGCGGACGGGUGAGUAACACGUGGAUAACCUAACUAUAAGACUGGGAUAACUUCGGGAAAUCUGAGCUAAUACCGGAUAAUAUAUCGAACUGCAUGGUUCAAUCGUGAAAGUCGGUUUUGCUGUCACUUAUAGCUGGAUCCGCGCCGUAUCAGCUAGUUGGUAAGGUAACGGCGUACCAAGGCAACGAUGCGUAGCCGACCUGAGAGGGGAAGCGGCCACGCUGGAAUGGGGACAUGGCCCAGACUACUGCGGGAGGCAGCAGUAGGGAAUCUUUCGGAAAGGGAGAAGGGCGGACGGAGCAGCGACGCGUGAGUGAUGAAGGUCGUCGGGUCGUAAAACUCUGUUAGUAGGGAGGAUCGAAUGUGUAUGUAACUAUGCACGUCUUGACGGUAACUAAUCAGAGAGGCACGGCUAACUACGUG
rnacentral:rRNA from 1 species